ACACGACUACAUUAGAUACCCCCGUAGUCCUGGCCGUAAACGAUGUGGACUUGGUGUUGGGAUGGCUCCGAGCUGCCCCAGUGCCGAAGGGAAGCUGUUAAGUCCACCGCCUGGGAAGUACGGCCGCAAGGCUGAAACUUAAAGGAGUUGGCGGGGGAGCACCACAACAGGUGGAGCCUGCGGUUUAAUUGGAUUCAACGCCGGGCAUCUCACCGGAUAAGACAGCUGAAUGAUUGUCAAUCUGAAGGUUUUACAUGACUAGCUG
rnacentral:rRNA from 1 species